AGAGUUUGAUCCUGGCUCAGGACGAACGCUGGCGGCGUGCCUAACACAUGCAAGUCGAACGGCCCGCCCCGACGGAUCCCUUCGGGGAGAAGACGGGUAACCGGGCAGUGGCGGACGGGUGAGUAACGCGUGGAGAACCUGUCUCUCAGUUGGGGAUAACCUGGCGAAAGUCGGGCCAAUCCCGAAUACGCUUUUGAUGUGGCAUCACAUUAUGAGGAAAGGUGCUUUCGGGCAUCGCUGAGAGGUGGCUCCGCGUCGGAUUAGCCAGCUGGUGGGGUAACGGCUCACCAGGGCAACGAUCCGUAGCUGGUCUGAGAGGAUGAUCAGCCACACUGGGACUGAGACACGGCCCAGACUCCUACGGGAGGCAGCAGUGGGGAAUCUUCCGCAAUGGGCGAAAGCCUGACGGAGCAACGCCGCGUGAACGAAGAAGGCCUUCGGGUCGUAAAGUUCUGUCCUCAGGGAAGAACCCUCAUGGGAGGAAAUGCCCAUGAGCUGACGGUACCUGGGAAGGAAGCCCUGGCUAACUACGUGCCAGCAGCCGCGGUAAUACGUAGAGGGCAAGCGUUGUCCGGAAUGACUGGGCGUAAAUGGUACGCAGGCGGAUAAGUAAGUCAAAUGUGAAAGGCACCGGCUCAACCGGUGAGCUGCAUUUGAAACUGCCUAUCUUGAGUUCAGGAGAGGAGAGCGGAAUUCCUGGUGUAGCGGUGGAAUGCGUAGAUAUCAGGAAGAACACCAGUGGCGAAAGCGGCUCUCUGGCCUGAAACUGACGCUCAUGUACGAAAGCUGGGGGAGCGAACGGGAUUAGAUACCCCGGUAGUCCCAGCCGUAAACGAUGGACACUAGGUGUUGGAGGUUCGAAUCCUUCAGUGCCGCAGUUAACGCAUUAAGUGUCCCGCCUGGGGAGUACGGUCGCAAGACUGAAACUCAAAGGAAUUGACGG
rnacentral:rRNA from 1 species